rnacentral:rRNA from 1 species
UCGUUCAAAGCUGUUUUAACUGGUGCUUGCACCGACUUAAACAACUGAGUGGCGAACGGGUGAGUAACACGUGGGUAACCUGCCCCAAAGCGGGGGAUAACAUUUGGAAACAGAUGCUAAUACCGCAUAACCACAGAAACCACAUGGUUUCUGUGUCAAAGAUGGUUUCGGCUAUCACUUUGGGAUGGACCCGCGGCGUAUUAGCUAGUUGGUAAGGUAAUGGCUUACCAAGGCAAUGAUACGUAGCCGAACUGAGAGGUUGAUCGGCCACAUUGGGACUGAGACACGGCCCAAACUCCUACGGGAGGCAGCAGUAGGGAAUCUUCCACAAUGGACGAAAGUCUGAUGGAGCAACGCCGCGUGAGUGAAGAAGGUUUUCGGAUCGUAAAGCUCUGUUGUCAGAGAAGAACGUGUGCGAGAGUAACUGCUCGUGCAGUGACGGUAUCUGGCCAGAAAGCCACGGCUAACUACGUGCCAGCAGCCGCGGUAAUACGUAGGUGGCAAGCGUUGUCCGGAUUUAUUGGGCGUAAAGGGAACGCAGGCGGUUAUUUCUAAGUCUGAUGUGAAAGCCUUCGGCUUAACCGGAGUCGUGCAUUGGAAACUGGGAGACUUGAGUGCAGAAGAGGAGAGUGGAACUCCAUGUGUAGCGGUGAACAUGCGUAGAUAUAUGGAAGAACACCAGUGGCGAAAGCGGACUCUCUGGUCUGUAACUGACGCUGGAGGUUCGACAAGCCGUGGGGUACGCCAAACAGGAUUAGAUAACCCUUGGGUAAGGUCCANCGCUGUCAAACCGACUGAAU